UACGUAGGGUGCAAGCGUUGUCCGGAAUUACUGGGCGUAAAGAGUGUGUAGGCGGUGUUCCCAGUCUGUUGUGAAAUCUCCCGGCUUAACUGGGAGGGUGCAGCGGAAACUAGAAUGCUAGAGGGUGGGAGAGGUAAGCGGAAUUCCUGGUGUAGCGGUGAAAUGCGUAGAUAUCAGGAGGAACACCUGUGGUGUAGACAGCUUACUGGACCACUUCUGACGCUGAGACACGAAAGCGUGGGUAGCAAACAGG
rnacentral:rRNA from 1 species